rnacentral:misc_RNA from 1 species
UCAAACUUGGUCAUUUAGAGGAAGUAAAAGUCGUAACAAGGUUUCCGUAGGUGAACCUGCGGAAGGAUCAUUAAAGCAUCUCUGGCGGGUGCGGCGCGCCCUGCUCCUGCCGCGAGGCGGUGAGCGGGCGUUCUGCCCCCGUCCAACCUUUGCAAACCCCACCGUGCACUUUUACGGCUGGAGGGCCGCCUCCGGGUGGCCCCAAAGCCGCUUCACCGAAACUCCAGUAUCAAAAGAAUGUGUUGCGGCCGCUGAGUCGCCUAACAAAUGUAACAACUUUCAACAACGGAUCUCUUGGCUCUCGCAUCGAUGAAGAACGCAGC